rnacentral:tRNA from 1 species
GCCUAGUUAGCUAGGUUGGUAGUGCGUCUGCCUUGUAAGCGCUAGGCCGCGGGUUCGAUUCCCGCCCGGGGCG